AUUGAACGCUGGCGGCAGGCCUAACACAUGCAAGUCGAGCGGAGGAAGGGAGUUUGCUCCCGGAUUCGGCGGGCGACGGGCGGGUGAGUCACGCGUAUGUGCUUGGCAGCUGGGCGGGGGGUCAGAACAGGGGAGCAAUUACAGUAUCGCAUCAGAGGGUGAAAGUGGGGGAUCAUGGUAGCUCGCGCCAUUAGAAUAGCCCAGGUCGGAUUAGCUAGUUGGUGGGGUAAAGGGCCACCAAGGCGACGAGCCGUAACUGGUCUGAUAGGAUGAUCAGCCACACUGGAACUGAGACACGGUCCAGACUCCUACGGGAGGCAGCAGUGGGGAAUAUUGGACAAUGGGCGAAAGCCUGAUCCAGCCAUGCCGCGUGGGUGAAGAAGGUCUUCGGGUUGUAAAGCCCUUUUGGUGGGAAGGAAGGGCAGUAGGUUAAUACCCUGCUGUUGUGACGGUACCAACAGAAUAAGCACCGGCUAACUUCGUG
rnacentral:rRNA from 1 species